rnacentral:rRNA from 1 species
GACGAACCGUGCGAACGUUAUUCGGAAUCACUGGGCUUAAAGCGCGUGUAGGCGGGCCGGCACGUCGGUCGCUGAAAUCCCCCGGCUCAACCGGGGAAGGGGCGCCGAUACGACCGGCCUGGAGGGGCGUAGGGGGACCGGGAACUUCCGGUGGAGCGGUGAAAUGCGUUGAGAUCGGGAGGAACACCCGUGGCGAAGGCGGCCAACUGGGCCGGACCUGACGCUGAGGCGCGAAGGCGUGGGGAGCGAACGGG